GCCUCUAUAGCUCAGUGGUAGAGCACUGGUCUCGUAAACCAGGGGUCGUGAGUUCAAUCCUCAUUGGAGGCA
rnacentral:tRNA from 1 species